ACGUAUGUUUUUUAGUUGACAUGGCUAAGGAGCCUGAUGCUGGGAAAGACUAAAGGUAGGAGGUGAAGGGGAAGACAGAGGAUGAGAUGGUUGGAUGGCAUCACUGACUCAAUGGUUCAAAUGAGUUUGAGCAAACUCCAGGAGUUGGUGAAGGACAGGGAAGCCUGGUGUGCUGCAGUCCAUCAGGUUGCAAAGAGUCAGACACGACUGAGUGACUAACAACAUCAACAGGCCAAGGAGCAAGGAAGGGAUCCGUGUAUGGAAAAUUACUAAGUAGAAACAUCAGGGGAUAAGGGAGGAUUCUGACUAAACUGACUCGACAGGAUUCUUGCGGAAGACAGGCCAGGGUGAGCAGAUAUCACCUGUAGAUUGUUGCCUUAUGUAGAAUCUAAUAUCCUGACCAGGGAUCAAACCUGGGUCUCUUGAAUUGGAAGCAUGGAGUCUGAGCCACUGGACCACCAGGGAAGUCUCUGAUAGAUAGAAGCAGAAGAGACCAAGAAAGAAUACAUAGAAG
ensembl:lncRNA